rnacentral:rRNA from 1 species
UACGAAGGGAGCUAGCGUUGUUCGGAAUCACUGGGCGUAAAGCGCACGUAGGCGGAUGUGUCAGUCAGGGGUGAAAUCCCGGGGCUCAACCUCGGAACUGCCUUUGAUACAGCACGUCUUGAGUCCGAUAGAGGUGGGUGGAAUUCCUAGUGUAGAGGUGAAUUCGUAGAUAUUAGGAAGAACACCGGUGGCGAAGGCGGCCCACUGGAUCGGUACUGACGCUGAGGUGCGAAAGCGUGGGGAGCGAACAGG